CCUACGGGUGGCAGCAGUGGGGAAUAUUGCACAAUGGGGGAAACCCUGAUGCAGCAACGCCGCGUGAGUGAAGACGUAUCUCGGUAUGUAAAGCUCUAUCAGCAGGGAAGAAGAUGACGGUACCUGAGUAAGAAGCCCCGGCUAACUACGUGCCAGCAGCCGCGGUUAUACGUAGGGGGCAAGCGGUAUCCGGAUUUACUGGGUGUAAAGGGAGCGUAGGCGGUGAGACAAGGCUGAAGUGAAAGCCCGGGGCUCAACCCCGGGACUGCUUUGCAAACUGCCUGACUGGAGUGCGGGAGAGGCAAGCGGAAUGCGUGGUGUAGCGGUGAAAUGCAUAGAUAUUAGGAAGAACACCAGUGGCGAAGGCAGCUUGCUGGAGAGUAACUGACGUUGAAGCUCGAAAGCGUGGGGAGCGAACAGGAUUAGAUACCCGAGUAGUC
rnacentral:rRNA from 1 species